rnacentral:rRNA from 1 species
GUAGGGCGGGCAAGCGUUGUCCGGAAUUAUUGGGCGUAAAGCGCGCGCAGGCGGUCCUUUAAGUCUGAUGUGAAAGCCCACGGCUCAACCGUGGAGGGUCAUUGGAAACUGGGGGACUUGAGUACAGAAGAGGAAAGCGGAAUUCCAAGUGUAGCGGUGAAAUGCGUAGAGAUUUGGAGGAACACCAGUGGCGAAGGCGGCUUUCUGGUCUGUAACUGACGCUGAGGCGCGAAAGCGUGGGGAGCAAACAGGAUUAGAUACCCUGGUAGUCCACGCCGUAAACGAUGAGUGCUAAGUGUUAGGGGGUUUCCGCCCCUUAGUGCUGCAGCUAACGCAUUAAGCACUCCGCCUGGGGAGUACGGCCGCAAGGCUG